CUGAGAUCGGCAGGCCUACGCUGACCACCUCGCCAAUAUUCGGUUAGAAAACACAGUCAGGUCAUUCAGGAUUGAACUCAACUCUUAAGCGACCUGCAAUUCACAAUAAAUCUCAGAUCAUUCAGUAUAUCUGUGGUUGGAGUGAUGCUGAUGUUUGACCGUGAGAACUGUUCUGUAGGCCGGGAUACAUCUGUACUGGAAACAGGUGAGGUCUGUCAGAGGCGGGUGUGUACAGGCUGUGUCUUUUCCACGCUAUGUGACUAUGACAAUGGCUCCGAGCCUCAGGAUUACAAACCGCAUCCUGGUCAGAGAUGAUGCAGGUGGCCGAUACACCAACCUGACGUGCAGGUUAUUUCACAGAGAGCUUCAGAACAAAACCACCGCCUUGUUACUUUCACCACAUGUAUCAAAAGAUGAGUAAAACGAUGCUGACUCAGAAAAUGAACAGUUCAGUUAUAUUAUAUGAUUAUUAUCAUAUCAAAUAAACCAUUAAUAAAAGUUAUAUUAUGAACUAUGAGAA